UUGAGAAUGACUCGCACAUUCAACUGAACUCUAAGUUCAAAGUUAUCCUUUUUUAAACGCCCAUUUUGGAGACAUUGUGACAUUUUGUGCCUCUCUGUCAUUUUAUCUAUUUAGUUGUCAAGCUUAUGGUUCGUUGCUGUUUUCAACUUUUCAUUUAGGGUCAUAAAGAAUGGCUUGCAGAGGUUCAAUUUCUUGGUGUGGGUUUUGAACCCUCUUCCUUGGAUCACGAGGUUACCAAUAAUGCUUGGUGCUGCUCAAGCUCGGAUUGGCUUAUCUACACGAGGGACUGGAAGUCCAGGUGAUAUAUCGAGAUUUCAAAUCCUCCAACGUGCUCUUGGAUGAGGACUU